rnacentral:rRNA from 1 species
UGGGGGAUAUUGCACAAUGGGCGAAAGCCUGAUGCAGCGACGCCGCGUGGGGGAUGAAGGCUUUCGGGUUGUAAACCUCUUUCGCUAUCGAACAAGGCCCGCUUAGGGUGGGUUGAGGGUAGGUGGAGAAGAAGCGCCGGCUAACUACGUGCCAGCAGCCGCGGUAAUACGUAGGGCGCGAGCGUUGUCCGGAAUUAGUGGGCGUAAAGGGCUUGUAGGCGGCUUGUUGCGCCUGCUGUGAAAACGCGGGGCUUAACUUCGCGCGUGCAGUGGGUACGGGCAGGCUUGAGUGUGGUAGGGGUGACUGGAAUUCCAGGUGUAGCGGUGGAAUGCGCAGAUAUCUGGAGGAACACAGAUGGCGAAGGCAGGUCACUGGGCCAUUACUGACGCUGAGGAGCGAAAGCAUGGGUAGCGAACAGG